GCUUACUAUGCUCAUUGCACCAGGGAGGGACCUGGAGCUCAGAGCAGGACCACCAUGGGGACAGCAGGUGCUUAAACCUGGAGUUGAAAUUUUCUAACUGCCGAAUUGCCUGCAAGAAAAUGAAGAAAUAUCUAGCCUGGACAGUGAAAUGUUCCCACUGAUGCUCUAAGACCUUGUCAACUAGAAUCGAUUCUUGGAGCUCAAGGGUGGUAUACAUUUCUAAAUCCUGCCUGCAUGGACGUGUGUCCUUCAGGCACCAUUUUCUGAAGCUUGUCGAGACCCUCUUUUAUUUUCUUCCUUAAAAAACUCCAAAAAGGUGGUUGACGUGGAAAGACAUGGACUGUUAAAAAUUAGCUCCCAAGCUCUCUGGGUGCCACUGUUAACUGUGCAAGGCCUCCUGGAUGGAGGAGGAGGCCAAGCAAGGGCUCUGCCCUGCUCAUUCCUCACUGUGACAUUGACCAUAGACUUCAGGCCUUGUGAUCUCAUCCCAGUUCCAGGGAAUGCAGGCCUGGGGAAUCUCACCAGGGCCCCACUUAGACCAUCUCUGGUGACAGUGGGAGCUUCCGAUGGAUGAGCAACUGUGAGUCAGCAACUGCAAUGGGGCCGACAUUCCUAACCCUAACCCUAAGCCAGAACCAGGAAUGGGCAACUGAGAGUCAGCGACUGACAAUGGGGUUGACAUUCCUAACUCUAACUCUAACUCUAAUCUUC
rnacentral:lncRNA from 1 species